UAGAUGCAAAAAAGCGUAUGUGCAAA
rnacentral:piRNA from 1 species